UAAGCGGAGGAAAAGAAACUAACUAGGACUGCCCCAGUAGCGGCGAGUGAACAGGCAAAAGCUCAAAGUGAAAAUCCGUUGCAUAAAGUAAUGGAAUUGUAAUCUAGAGAGGUGUUCGGAGGUGAUCGGGCGUGGAAUAAGUUCCUUGGAACAGGACGUCAUAGAGGGUGAUAACCCCGUAGUCGUCUACGUCACGGACCCAACGAGCAUUUUCGAAGAGUCGGGUUGUUUGGGAUUGCAGCCCUAAAUGGGAGAUAAACUUCUUCUAAAGCUAAAUAUUUAUGGGAAACCGAUAGCGAACAAGUACUGCGAAGGAAAGGUGAAAAGAACUUUGAAAAGAGGGUUAAAAGACUUGAAAUCGUUGAGAAGAAAGUGGUAGAAGAGUAAUCAUUUGUGUACGAUAUUCGGGUUGCUUGGAGGAUUGGUAAGGCUUUAGUACUUCAUAGGCUGUGCUUUGCUAAAUCUGACUCGCUGCUUGUUAUUCGUAUGCAAGAGGCAAAAUGAGGUUAGUCGUCAGGAGUCGUCUAUUUAGAAGACCCUCGUGCUUGCAUGGGGAGCUAGGUAGAAAAACUGAAGACUAGUCUGAGGGGCCUGCGGGCGAUUUUGCCAAAGUGGCUUCUACUGUCCCGUCUUGAAACACGGACCAAG
rnacentral:rRNA from 1 species